UACGUAGGGUGCAGGCGUUAAUCGGAAUUACUGGGCGUAAAGCGUGCGCAGGCGGUUUGCUAAGACAGGUGUGAAAUCCCCGGGCUUAACCUGGGAACUGCGCUUGUAACUGGCAAGCUGGAGUGUGGCAGAGGGGGGUGGAAUUCCACGUGUAGUAGUGAAAUGCGUAGAGAUGUGGAGGAACACCGAUGGCGAAGGCAGCCCCCUGGGCUAACACUGACGCUCAUGCACGAAAGCGUGGGGAGCAAACAGG
rnacentral:rRNA from 1 species